rnacentral:tRNA from 2 species
GGAAGAUUGGCCGAGUGGUCGAAGGCACCGUCUUGGAAAGGCGGCGGGCCCGCAAGGGUCCCAAGGGUUCGAAUCCCUUAUCUUCCGCCA